UUCAACUGUAAAAGCCUUUUUAGCAUUAGAAAUCAUGCUGGUAAUUACAGAACAUGACUCCCUUGAGGGCAGAAUCAGUUUUAUAUCUGAUUCACCGUGUUCCUAGAGAUGGUUGCUAUACUCCUUCCUUCAAGGAGAACUCAGGUGGUAUGCCAAGACAAACCUGGACUCGUGAAGGAAAAUGUACUCUGUAGCCCAUUUUGGUCAAGUGAGAUUUCGCACCUUCUUGUGACUGAACUUAAUUCAGAGGGCCUGUGAAAUGAGGAAAUAACAAAUAUUUAUUCAGUUCCUGGAACAGAAGCACAGAAAGGAUGUUUUCAAAAGUGGCAUCUCCGUUCCCAGCUGUGGAAAGACAAACAUUUGGAGGCUGUUUAGCACCUGCGGCUGCUCUGAAAGUGGAGCUGAGUGCAGUCCUUACCCUGCCAUACCCAGUCGUGGCUCCAUCCCUUUGUAAAAGCUUAAUGGAUGACUUUUCUGCUGCAACUAAGUCUUAUAAGCAGCCAAGUACAGAAAAUAGGCAGUUGAUGUUCCACCUCUUUAAUACAAUAUUAAAAUUC